UGGGGAAUUUUCUGCAAUGGGCGAAAGCCUGACAGAGCGACGCCGCGUGGGUGAUGAAGUCUUUCGGGAUGUAAAGCCCUUUCAGCAGGGAAGAAGACAGUGACGGUACCUGCAGAAGAAGCAUCGGCUAACUACGUGCCAGCAGCCGCGGUAAGACGUAGGAUGCAAGCGUUGUCCGGAUUUAUUGGGCGUAAAGAGUACGUAGGUGGUUGCGUAAGUUUGAGGUGAAAGCCCACGGCUCAACCGUGGAUCCGCCUUGGAUACUGUGUAACUAGAGGGCAGCAGAGGAAAGUGGAAUUCCCAGUGUAGCGGUGAAAUGCGUAGAUAUUGGGAGGAACACCAGUGGCGAAAGCGACUUUCUGGGCUGUUUCUGACGCUGAGGUACGAAAGCCAGGGGAGCAAACGGG
rnacentral:rRNA from 1 species